rnacentral:rRNA from 1 species
GUAGUCUGCAACUCGACUACAUGAAGCUGGAAUCGCUAGUAAUCGCGAAUCAGAAUGUCGCGGUGAAUACGUUCCCGGGUCUUGUACACACCGCCCGUCACACCAUGGGAGUCAGUAACGCCCGAAGCCGGUGACCUAACCGAAAGGGAGGAGCCGUCGAAGGUGGGACCGAUAACUGGGGUGAAGUCGUAACAAGGUAGC